GGGAUGGUUACUGAGCGGCAUGGCAGCGCCUGCCGCAAGAGUGGACUGCAGUCUAGGGAAGGGGCCAGCUGAAAAGAUGUAACUAACAGGCAGGCAGUUAAAUAGCGUGGAUCUGAAUGAGACCAGCGUGGUCGUUGGCGGCGUGGUGGAAUUAGCCUCGAGAGCUCUGUUAGAGCCUAGCAUGGCCAUCUUCUGAAAGGCCCAACAAGCAGCCGACUGAGGCAGACACAGAUACACCCUACCAAUGGACUGAAGUCUGGGAUCCCUGUGGUUGAAUUAGGGAAAGGCUGGAAGAAGCUGAGGAGGAGCGUGAGCCCAGGAGGGAGACCAGUAGUCUCAACUAACCUGGACCCCUGAGAUCUACAGCAGAAGACUGCCUGUUCUGGCCUCAGUGAGAGAAGAAGCAUCUAACCCUUGAGAGCAAGAGACUUGAGGCCCCCAGGGAAUGGGGAGACCAGAAACUCAUCCAUGUGACCCGGAAAGUGCCUUAAACUCAGACCAUUGCCGACUGCAUGUGUAUGUUUCCUGCUCAGAGCUAUGCAAAACUACAAGGCCUUCCACAACAUAAAGUCUUAAGCACUGAGAGUCCUCACCAGCCCUUUAUCUUUCUCCUUUGUGAAGUGUUCCUCUUCUGUUGCAUUGUGGAUGAACGGGGGCCAGGAAAUAGAGAAAACAAACAGACAUUCGGAGAAAAAAAGGAAAGAAAAGAAGAUACAAUGAAAACAAACAAAUCUGAAUGGGACAAAACCACAAACAAACAAAUAAAUGAAGAGCCAAAUAAAAAGCACAAGAAACACAAAUAGAUCCAGAAACACACACACUGGCAUUCAGGGAAAUCUCAUAAAAAUGCAAAAUUAGAAUUCAUAAUACACAAGCAAAAGCCCUACAAGGUAAGAAAAAGAGAGGAAGGAAGGACGAGGGAUGAGAGCGAGAAAGAAGGGAGCCUUAGGAAUGGUUUUGUUCUCAGUUAGACUCUGAUGGAGAAACCUAAUUUGUCCUUUGUGAAUGGUUAUCAAUUAGAGAUAACUUCUGGGAGAGGGGGCGGGGCUCAUGUCCACUUCCCGUUUCAGCACUGGGACCCCAUCAGGAUGAGUCCUGUGUAUGCUGCCAUUUUUACUAUAGUUAUCUGACUGAUCCAUGAGUAUAGGAGGCCUUUCCAACUUCUAAUAUCUUCUUCAGUUUCUUAAAGUUUUUAUAAUACAAGUCCUUCACUUGUUAGGUUGGAGUUACACCACUAUAUUUUAUGUUUUUAAGGCUAUUGUAAAAGAUGUUGUUUUAUGAUUUCUUCUUCAAUUCAUUUGUCAUUUGCAUAUAGAAAAUUUACUGAUUCAUGUGUAUCAAUUUUGUACCCUGCUACUUUGCUGAAGUAUUUAUCAUCUGUAGGAAUUCCCAGUGGAAUUAUCAGGUCAGUAAUGUUUACUGCC
rnacentral:lncRNA from 1 species